rnacentral:rRNA from 1 species
AGUGAACGCUGGCGGUAGGCCUAACACAUGCAAGUCGAACGGCAGCACAGUAAGAGCUUGCUCUUACGGGUGGCGAGUGGCGGACGGGUGAGGAAUACAUCGGAAUCUACUUUUUCGUGGGGGAUAACGUAGGGAAACUUACGCUAAUACCGCAUACGACCUACGGGUGAAAGCAGGGGAUCUUCGGACCUUGCGCGAUUGAAUGAGCGGAUGUCGGAUUAGCUAGUCGGCGGGGUAAAGGCCCACCAAGGCAACGAUCCGUAGCUGGUCUGAGAGGAUGAUCAGCCACACUGUAACUGAGACACGGUCCAGACUCCUACGGGAGGCAGCAGUGGGGAAUAUUGGACAAUGGGGGCGAGCCUGAUCCAGCCAUACCGCGUGGGUGAAGAAGGCCUUCGGGUUGUAAAGCCCUUUUGUUGGGAAAGAAAAGCAGCAGGUUAAUACCCCGCUGUUCUGACGGUACCCAAAGAAUAAGCACCGGCUAACUUCGUG